AUAAAUUCAUCUUAAUAUUGUCUUGAUAACAAACAACAUAACAACCUUGACUGCCUUGACAAAGUAACCAGAAAAAAAAAGAGUAUUUAUUAGAAGAGUAUGUAGAACAGGAAAAAGAGUUUGAACAACCAGACCUUAGGCAGGUGGCAAGGUGAGGGUGGGGUGGGGGCAAGACAUCUGUGGGGUUCUCACCAAAGUUUAUAGAUUUUCUACAGGAUCCAUGUGUAGCAACUGUAGGUCCUUAAGUCUCUUUGUUUCAUGUUUCAGAUUCCCAGAAGACAAAAUCUGAGUGGUCCAUCUUGAGGAAGAUACCUGUCACUGGAUUGAUCAGCUAAGACCAGGGAGGAAAUGACAUGCAACAAAGUACAUGUGUGCCUCCAUUCAUGCAGAACAUUAUUUUACAAGACAGAAAAUAUUUUCCCAGGAUGGUGUAAAUUACGACUGAACAAUGGAACCCCUUCUGUAGCCAUCAUUGCCAUGCCACUUGGCCAGGCUCAGAUAAAUGGCCUAUUCAGAGGUGCGUGGACCUGGAUGAAUUAUGAUGUUAUCCCAAGGAUGUGGCAGCCCUGGUGCAUGGGUGAUGGAAUAUCUGUAAGUGUGGCCUUGUGAUGAGCUCCUAGAGGGUAGGACUUAGCUCUUAUUGAAGCCUAUCCUGCUGGCAAGUCUGGGGAACUCUGUGGGCACAGACCCAGUUGCCCAGGGCUGGGUUUAGAUGAUAACAUUUUCUUCUUGGUCUCUUUCUACUUGCAUGGGGAACCAGCUGUAUAAAAUACAGCUGGUGGAAGAAUGAGUAGCAUAAAUGUCCUAAUUUUACUUUCUGUCUGUGGGGUUUAAGAUUCAUUUGCUGAAGUGGACUCGGCUGCUAUUAACCCCUUUCUCAAGAUUAGAUGAGCUUACAAUGGAGGAUCUGCUUCGAGAUGGUCUUGGUGUGUUUUAUUUAUUUUUCAGAUGCAAAGCCUUGAAUCACUGUACUCAACAGCAGUUCUCAAAUUUUUGGAAUCACUUUGAGAUUUGAUAAAAGUCCUAUAACCUUCUCCCAGACAAAUGCACUUACACCUACACUUAACAUCAUGCAUACAACAUUAGAAGGUGACUAGACUCAAAAAACUUAUUCAUGGACUCAUCAGUGGCCCACAGAUCUCUGGCUGAGACCCCUGUGUUUGUCACUGUUAGUAGCUGUGGUAGUUUUGAGGGUGGAGAUUCACCCUGAAUCAUCUUAUGAUGAGUAGGAUGCACAGUCUGAUGACAAGCAGUGCAUUUAGGAGGAGACUGUGCAAAGAAUAUAACACCUACCCAUAGAAAAACUCACUGCUAUGUGUUUGGAGAUGGAUGCCAAACUUAAGCAGUAAGUCCAAU
rnacentral:lncRNA from 1 species